rnacentral:tRNA from 1 species
GGGGUUGUGGCUCAGUGGUAGAGCGCUUGCCUACCAUGUGCAAUGCCCUGGGUUCGAACCUCAGCACCA